rnacentral:misc_RNA from 1 species
GAUGAAGAACGCAGCGAAAUGCGAUAAGUAAUGUGAAUUGCAGAAUUCAGUGAAUCAUCGAAUCUUUGAACGCACAUUGCGCCCGCCAGUAUUCUGGCGGGCAUGCCUGUCUGAGCGUCAUUUCAACCCUCAUGCCCCUAGGGCGUGGUGUUGGGGAUCGGCCAAAGCCCGCGAGGGACGGCCGGCCCCUAAAUCUAGUGGCGGACCCGUCGUGGCCUCCUCUGCGAAGUAGUGAUAUUCCGCAUCGGAGAGCGAUGAGCCCCUGCCGUUAAACCCCCAACUUUCCAAGGUUGACCUCAGAUCAGGUAGGAAUACCCGCUGAACUUAAGCAUACAUAAGCGGAGGA